rnacentral:rRNA from 1 species
GGGUGAGUAAUGUCUGGGAAACUGCCUGAUGGAGGGGGAUAACUACUGGAAACGGUAGCUAAUACCGCAUAACGUCGCAAGACCAAAGAGGGGGACCUUCGGGCCUCUUGCCAUCGGAUGUGCCCAGAUGGGAUUAGCUAGUAGGUGGGGUAACGGCUCACCUAGGCGACGAUCCCUAGCUGGUCUGAGAGGAUGACCAGCCACACUGGAACUGAGACACGGUCCAGACUCCUACGGGAGGCAGCAGUGGGGAAUAUUGCACAAUGGGCGCAAGCCUGAUGCAGCCAUGCCGCGUGUAUGAAGAAGGCCUUCGGGUUGUAAAGUACUUUCAGCAGGGAGGAAGGGAGUAAAGUUAAUACCUUUACUCAUUGACGUUACCCGCAGAAGAAGCACCGGCUAA